rnacentral:rRNA from 1 species
UAGGCGUAAAUGAUGCGAGUUAAGUGUGGGGGCAUCUACGAGAUGGCCCUGUGCUGUAGGGUAGCCGUUAAACUCGCUGCCUGGGGAGUACGGUCGCAAGGCUGAAACUUAAAGGAAUUGGCGGGGGGAGUACCACAACGGGUGGAGCCAGCGGUUUAAUUGGACUCAACGCCGGGAAGCUCACCGGAUAAGACAGCGGAAUGAUUGCCGGGCUGAAGACCCUGCAUGACCAGCUGAGAGGUGGUGCAUGGCGUAGACGUCU